UUUCGGGUCCAAACAGGCACACUCGAACUCAACCCACGGAGGGCCGGUCGGUGUUGGGCAAUCAAAAAAUGUUUGUGCACACCACGGGUGCGUUCGCACCUCCCUUUCAGUACGAGAGAAGUACUGGCAACAAUAUCUUCUCCCUUGCGCGUCUGUUUGACUCCUUGGUCCGUGUUUCAAGACGGGUGGAGGCACCCCAUUUCCGACGCCAACAUUGAGCAUCACGGAGAAGACACACGGCUCGCCCUUUGGGGGGGUGCCGCGCGCUUUGUCUCCGCCCAUUUCACCAGUACCCUCAGUCUUGCACUUAGUUGCUCCGCGGAUUUUGAUCCCCACGAAGAUAAUGCUGCGAGGUUGGUUUUGGCCGAUUGAAAUGGAGGUACUUCCAUUGUCAUUGUCACGACUUCAGGUUCUAUGUCACUCUCUUUCCAAAGUGCUUUUCAAACUUUCGCUCACGCUACUUGUUCGCUAUCGGUCUUCCUA
rnacentral:rRNA from 1 species